rnacentral:rRNA from 1 species
GACGAACGCUGGCGGCGUGCCUAAUACAUGCAAGUUGAGCGCUGAAGGUUGGUACUUGUACCAACUGGAUGAGCAACGAACGGGUGAGUAACGCGUGGGGAAUCUGCCUUUGAGCGGGGGACAACAUUUGGAAACGAAUGCUAAUACCGCAUAAAAACUUUAAACACAAGCUUUAAGUUUGAAAGAUGCAAUUGCAUCACUCAAAGAUGAUCCCGCGUUGUAUUAGCUAGUUGGUGAGGUAAAGGCUCACCAAGGCGAUGAUACAUAGCCGACCUGAGAGGGUGAUCGGCCACAUUGGGACUGAGACACGGCCCAAACUCCUACGGGAGGCAGCAGUAGGGAAUCUUCGGCAAUGGACGAAAGUCUGACCGAGCAACGCCGCGUGAGUGAAGAAGGUUUUCGGAUCGUAAAACUCUGUUGGUAGAGAAGAACGUUGGUGAGAGUGGAAAGCUCAUCAAGUGACGGUAACUACCCAGAAAGGGACGGCUAACUACGUG